ACUAUUUCCUUUGGAUGUUUACAUGACUGUGCCGUCAAAAGGCCUCCAAUGUGUUUACAUAUUUUGACAAGUCGAAUUGCUCUUGCAGGAACGACGGUAAGUGUAAGUUUAUAAAUUAAUCAUUUUGCACCGACUUCAAAACAAGGCUGAUAAUCAGUCGUCUGUAUUUCAAGACCUGGAAACGAUUUGCCCAGUCAUUUAAACAUAUGUUCUGGGCGGAGAACAUAGCAUAUACAUGCGUGUACUACUGUCACCAGAGUUUAUCAUUAGAUGCAGAAUUAAUGCAUUGUUUGAUAGAUAGUAAAUCGAUCAGAAUGGUUCAUUAUCAUAGUAAAAAAAAACGUUUAUGUACUUUUUGCAUUCAAAUUGACAUACUAAUAACUUGAAACUGAGAAAGAAGACGGCCAGAAAGCAUCUGCAUAAAACAUGUAUGAUUGGACGUCAGGCUGAAUCAUCCGGUUACCUAUGAAAAAAAAACAUUUAGAUUUCUUAAGUAAUGUUAAUUACCGUGCAUUUUAUUCGUCUUGUGUUUCAGAUGAAUACCUGCACCACAGAAAUAAUCUAAUAGAUCUAAUUUGUAAACUAUCGUGGAACCUGUGCACGGCACGCACAUUUCCUAUUCAACAGGAAUGCAUGAUGGCGACCAACAGUACAGAAAGAUGAAGAUGUAAAUUGAUCCAAAGAAAUAAUGGGACAAUGAAUGCAAUAAUUUCCAAGAAGAAGACUGCCAUAUUUACACACCAUUUUUAUACAGUUACAGUAUGAUAUGGUGAAUAAAAACCCUCAAUGCAGCCUUUUGGAGCUUUGGCUAGACCAUGAACAGUAGACAUCACAAGGUACAGGAUAGUUGCUGUUUUUAUUAAAUUCUUUCAUGUAUAUACUAAUUAUCAGUUCAAAUGAAACUUGGUACACAACAUCAGCAUGAAGUGGACAGGACUAUCAAAUUUGACUAUUUGUUUCUUCAGUUAAUAUGUCAUUUGUUUAUUUUUAAAAUUAUUUUAUCACAGCUACCUUGAUACCUUGUGCAUUAAAACUACUUCUGCAAAUUCAAUCAGAUAUAAAUAGAACAUGGUAUACUAUGGCUAGGCAGCAGACAUACACAUAAUAUAGUGAAUUUUACUUCUG